CAAUAGCGUAUAUUAAAGUUGUUGCGGUUAAAAAGCUCGUAGUUGGAUUUGUGGCGUACGGUGUGUUCCGGGCACUUGUUGUCUGAGUAACCUGCUGUUGCCAUCCCUGGGUGGAACCUGUGUGGCAUUAGGUUGUCGUGCAGGGGAUGCCCAUCAUUUACUGUGAAAAAAUUAGAGUGUUCAAAGCAGGCUUAUGCCGUUGAAUAUAUUAGCAUGGAAUAAUGAGAUAGGACUUUUUUGCUAUUUUGUUGGUUUGCGCAAAGAGGUAAUGAUUAAUAGGGACAGUUGGGAGUAUUCGUAUUCCAUUGUCAGAGGUGAAAUUCUUGGAUUUUUGGAAGACGAACUACUGCGAAAGCAUUUACCAAGGAUGUUUUCAUUAA
rnacentral:rRNA from 1 species